UGGAUUAGUUACUAAUUCUUUUCCUAAUUGGAUUGUUGACACAGGAGCAAAAAAAUAUGUAGUUCAAGAUCGAGUUGGAUUCAUAAACUACCAUCGUGUCCCGAUGGGUUCGUAAAAUAUUGUAUUAGGCGACGAUAGUGAAAAGGACAUCCUUUGAAUAAGAACAUACCAGUUCAAGCUACAUGGAAGAAAUGCUUUACUCCUUCAUGAUACUCUCUAUGCUAGGGUGAGUUGUUGUUUACUUU
rnacentral:lncRNA from 1 species